GAAUAAGACUCAAGAUCAUAAAAUAUCAAAGACAAAAAAAGAAAUUAGUGGUCACGUAGUCCAACACUUCAUUUUAUUUAAGAGAAAAGCAAGACCCACAGAGGUAAAAGUAAUUAUUUGAGGUCAAAUAGUAGGAUUAUUAUUCAAGCCUGGGGUGUCUGCCUCCUAGUCCAAUGUUCUUUCUGCCACAUUGCUCCAUUUUAUGAUUAGCACUUACAAUUUAUCAUACUUACUGUAACAUUAAUUUGAUUAAACCCAAAAUGAAACUUGAUAAAUUAAGUGAUAGAAAUAUAUAACAAGUCUUGAUGAAAUCUGAUUUUAAAAAGUUAAUGGAUGACUGUGGAUUUUUAAAUGAGUUUUUAAGUGCUUUGUUACAGUUAUAUUGAAUGUAGGUAAUUUUCAGGGCUUUAUCUCAAUUAUUAUUAUUACAGCAUAAUCAAUGUAUAUUGCCUAUAUCAUUUUAAUAUAUAAAAGAGGUAUUUGUUUCAUAGUAUAAUGAAAUCAUAUUGUCUCUAGAGGUUAUUGUCUCUAUAAGGGCUAAUCUUGGACUCAUUGAGAUGCAUUAGGGCUAACCUUUAUUAUAACUCAAUUAUAUUCAGCUUAGAGGAAUUUUCCUUAGCUGGGAAAUAAUUUUGAUCAUGCAACUCUAUUUAUUCUCUUAAAACAGCCCAAGUUGUGUGAGGCAAUUUUUUAAACAACCCACUUUUGAAAAUGCAUCUUUUAUACUUCAUGUUUAAAAUGCCUACUGAACUCAUUGAAGACAGUGGAGCAGGGCAAUUUUCUUGGAGAGGUUGACAGCAUAUAAUCCUCCUUCUUUGAAACCAGUAGUUCAAGAUUUAUAACCUCUUUUAAAAUGAAGAGCUCCUUAUAAUUCACUCUCUUUGUAACAGACAGAAUUGAAAAAACUGAGAAAAUGCAAAGACCCAUGUUAAGAACAGUCCUAAAGCUGAAUAGUAAAAGUUAUUAAAUUUUUACCUGUUUCUAAAUGAAGUAAAGAACCUCAUUUCCAAAGACUUGGGAUUAACUCAUUUUCAGAUGAGGCUGUCAUGUUAGAAGUCCUGAGUAAAAUACACACACACACAUUAAUUGGAAAGACAUAUAAUUUAGAAAUAUAGACCUCUAUUUUCAAAAUGACUUUUUUUUUGCUGUGUCUUUUUCAACUCAGCAAAUGUCAUUGUUAGAACAGAACUUUCUUAAUGUCUACAAAUUAACACAAAUAAAUUAGGACCCAUUUU
rnacentral:lncRNA from 1 species